rnacentral:lncRNA from 1 species
UUGGUUCAUCGACGUUUCGUCCAAUCCUUCGGCACAUCAUCUUCUUUUGUGGUCUUUUGCCCAAUCGGUAUAUUGACAUCCUCAACUCCGAUCUCCUUGGUGCAAUGUCCGCUCUUCUAAGCCUGAUGUCCGAACCCAUGGCACGAAGCCUUCUGCUGACACAACGACCGAUCCUCUAGCUCGAUAUAUAAUCUUCUGACAUAUUCCACUCUAGCCCAAUAUUGAUUCUAUUGCUUUAAUCGAUUUAUCUUCCCUGAUCGAAGCUAG